AGAGUUUGAUCAUGGCUCAGGACGAACGCUGGCGGCAUUCUUAAUACAUGCAAGUCGAUCGAAGUUAUGCGAGAAGCUUGCUUUUCAAUUAGCUUAGUGGCGGACGGGUGAGUAACACGUAGGCAACCUGCCUGUAAGUCGGGGAUAACUCACGGAAACGUGAGCUAAGACCGGAUAGUCGAGAGGAAGGCAUCUGUUCUUGCGAAAGACGGAGCAAUCUGUCGCUUAUGGAUGGACGUGCGGCGCAUUAGCUAGUUGGUGAGGUACCGUCUCAUCAAGGCGACGAUGCGUAGACUACCUCAGAGGCUGAACGACCACACUGGGAGUGAGACACGGCCCAGACUCUUACGGGAGGCAGCAGUAGGGAAUCUUCGGCAAUGGACGCAAGUCUGACCGAGCAAUCCCUCGUGAGUGAGGAAGGCCCUCGCGUGGAAAAACUCUGUUACCAGGGAAGAACGCUUAGGAGAGUAACUGCUCUUAAGGUGACGGUACCUGAGAAGAAAGCCCCGCCUAACUACGUGCCAUCAUCCGCGGUAAUACGUAGGGGGCAAGCGUUGUCCGGAAUUAUUCGAUGUAAAGCGCGCGCAGGCGGCUAAUUAAGUCUUAUGUAUAAUCACAAGCAUCAACCUUGGAUCGCAUGGGAAACUGGUUGGCUUGAGUGUAGGAGAGGAAAGGGGAAUUCCACGUGUAGCGGUUAAAUGGGUAGAUAUUUGGAGGAACACCAGUGGCGAAGGCCACUUUCUGGCCUAUAACCAGCGCCGAGGCGCGAAAGCGCGGGGAUCUACCAGGAUUAGAUACCCAUGUAGUACGCGCCGUAAACGAUGAAUGCUAGGUGUUAGGGGUUUCUAUACCCUUGGUCCCGAAGUUAACACAUUAAGCACUCCGCCUGGGGAGUACGGUCGCAAGACUGAAACUCAAAUGAAUAGACGG
rnacentral:rRNA from 1 species